rnacentral:rRNA from 1 species
CAAGUCGAACGUGAGGGUUUAGCAAUAAACCUGAAAGUGGCGAACGGGUGAGUAACACGUAGAUAACCUGCCGCGCAGAGGGGGAUAACGACUAGAAAUGGUCGCUAAUACCGCAUGGUACUCGGGAAAGGGGACUUUCCUUGGUUAAAACUAUUGUGCUGCGUGAGGGGUCUGCGUCCGAUUAGUUAGUUGGUGAGGUAACGGCUCACCAAGACGAUGAUCGGUAGCUAGUCUGAGAGGAUGAUUAGCCACACGGGAACUGAGACACGGUCCCGACUCCUACGGGGGGCAGCAGUGAGGAAUAUUGCACAAUGGACGCAAGUCUGAUGCAGCAACGCCGCGUGGAGGAUGACGGUCUUUGGAUUGUAAACUCCUUUUCUCAGGGAAGAGAAUGGACGGUACCUGAGGAAUAAGUCACGGCUAACUACGUGCCAGCAGCCGCGGUAAUACGUAGGUGGCGAGCGUUAUCCGGAAUUACUGGGCGUAAAGCGCACGCAGGCGGCGCCUUAAGUUUGACGUGAAAGCUCCCGGCUUAACUGGGAGAGGUCGUUGAAUACUGAGGUGCUUGAGGCAAUGAGAGGGGUGUAGAAUUCCCGGUGUAGUGGUGGAAUGCGUAGAUAUCGGGGGGAAUACCAGUGGCGAAAGCGGCACCCUAGCGUUAGCCUGACGCUCAUGUGCGAAAGCGUGGGGAGCGAACGGGAUUAGAUACCCCGGUAGUCCACGCUGUAAACGAUGAACACUAGGUGUAGGUGAUGUGAAAGUUAUCUGUACCGAAGCCAACGCGUUAAGUGUUCCGCCUGGGGAGU